UACGUAGGUCCCGAGCGUUGUCCGGAUUUAUUGGGCGUAAAGCGAGCGCAGGUGGUUUAAUAAGUCUGAUGUAAAAGGCAGUGGCUCAACCAUUGUGUGCAUUGGAAACUGUUAGACUUGAGUGCAGUAGAGGAGAGUGGAAUUCCAUGUGUAGCAGUGAAAUGCGUAGAUAUAUGGAGGAACACCGGUGGCGAAAGCGGCUCUCUGGACUGUAACUGACACUGAGGCUCGAAAGCGUGGGUAGCAAACAGG
rnacentral:rRNA from 1 species